rnacentral:lncRNA from 1 species
AGCGAUUCCAACUAAGUAAUAUGUUACCUACAGAUUAAUUAGAAAAAGACUUCGUCCCUAUCCCAACCUCCAAACACUCUAUUGUUCAUUUCUCCUCAAAUAUAUCAUAACAUAGCACACGUCCUAGCGAACCACAAGAAACGACCACACUCUGAAAAGCAAGUGGAGGAGGAACUACCGAUCACUGCAUGAAUAUCCCUUGGGCCAACAAUCUGUACAUCAAACUCCUAUAGGAAGCAACUCAACAGAGUCCUCCAGAACAAUGCUGGCAAUCCCCCCAUAUAUAUAGAAAACUAAACCCAGACCCAUAUGCAAUUCUUUCUUCUAUAAACUCAUUGUAUCACAAAGAACUUUUAGUAGUUUGAGAUUUUGAGCUUGCAGGUUCUCACGGAAAAUACUUCCAAUUUUCCUGCCACUUGUCGAUUUGUUGCUGAUGGCCGUUUAAACGCUUCCUUGGCCCGUUGGUCUGCUAAAAUUGCACGUAAUCGUGCUUCUGUUGCUCGUGAUCGUGCUUCUACUGCCCUCUGCAUCGACAAGGCCAAUGCUGCUCGUGCUGCUGCUGACGCUGCUGAUGCUGCUGCUGUUGUCGCUGAUGACGCUGCAGAUGCUGUUGAUACUGCGACUGAUUGCAUUGCCGCUGGCAUUGUUGCUUUUAGUCACACUAAAGCUGUCGAUGAUUAUGAAGCUGCCAACACUUUAUAUAUGAACCACCCAGACUAUUAUGCUGCUCUAAUGACCGCUAUUAAGGAUGCCGGUGCUGCCAGUGGUGCAGCCAGAUCUGCUGCCGAAGAGGCUGAUGCUGCCAAGUAUGCCCUUAUGGACACCGGCAAAAGGACCCUAAAAAGGUGAUAGAAUGUCUCCAAACUAUUUGUCAAAAUUCUCUUUUGCUGCUCAUACUGCCGUUUUCAUUAGCUUUAAAAAUCCAGCUUUUGAAGCCUUUAUAUUAAACCUUUACAAUUAAUUAGUUUCAAUAGGAAGGCUGAUCUCAGGACCCACAAAAAUCGUCCUUCAAAAGAUACUUUUUUUUUAAUUUAUUGUUAAUUAAAAUGCAAAAAUUGUGAUGGUUUCUAUAUCAAUCCUAAAAGAAACAUGGAGGCGAAAGAAAUCUCCACAGGCACGAAGUCUAAAGAUGAUGCACGUCCAACAAAGGAACCAAAGAAUUCCGAGGACUAUUCAGGCACGAAGUCUAAAGAUGAUGCACAUCCAACAAAGGAACCAAAGAAUUCCGAGGGGAAAAAGGUACCUAAGAGCUUAGGUUUUAUUUUUGCAUUAGCCACAAAAUAAUGAACUGAAUUCCAUCAUUAUUUUUUUUAUAGGAUCAACAACUUUUGUUGAGAAAAAAAAUGAAAGAAUAUAAAGACAUAAAAAAAAAACACAUCUUCUAAAGGAAGCGAUUCCAACUAAGUAAUAUGUUACCUACAGAUUAAUUAGAAAAAGACUUCGUCCCUAUCCCAACCUCCAAACACUCUAUUGUUCAUUUCUCCUCAAAUAUAUCAUAACAUAGCACACGUCCUAGCGAACCACAAGAAACGACCACACUCUGAAAAGCAAGUGGAGGAGGAACUACCGAUCACUGCAUGAAUAUCCCUUGGGCCAACAAUCUGUACAUCAAACUCCUAUAGGAAGCAACUCAACAGAGUCCUCCAGAACAAUGCUGGCAAUCCCCCCAUAUAUAUAGAAAACUAAACCCAGACCCAUAUGCAAUUCUUUCUUCUAU